rnacentral:rRNA from 1 species
GACGGACGCUGGCGGCGUGCUUAACACAUGCAAGUCGAACGGAAAGGCCUGCUUUCCCUUGUUGAUUGCGGGUACUCGAGUGGCGAACGGGUGAGUAACACGUGAGUGAUCUGCCCCCAACUUAGGUAUAAGCCUGGGAAACUGUGUCUAAUUCCCGAUAGGACUGCAUGGUGCUGCCUGUGUUGGAAAACGAUUUUCUAGUGGUUGGGGAUGAGCUCGCGGCCUAUCAGCUUGUUGGUGGGGUAAUGUCCUACCAAGGCGGCGACGGGUCGCCGGCCGGAGAGCGGCGACGCUCACAUUGGGACUGGGACCCGGCACCGACACCUACGGGAGGAAGGAGUGGGGCCUAUUGGACCAUGGGCCGAAGCCAGAAGCAGCGCGGGCGCGUGGAGGAUCUCGGGCUUCGGGUUGUAAACUACUUUCGAACGAGAGGAAGCCAAGUGGCUAGACGGGUCGUGACGGUAGUGGUAGAAAAAGCCACGGCUAACUACGUG